CUAAUACAUGCAAGUCGAGCGAGAAGACGUAGCAAUACGUUUGUAAAGCGGCGAACGGGUGAGGAAUACAUGGGUAACCUACCCUUGAGUGGGGAAUAACUAGCCGAAAGGUUAGCUAAUACCGCGUACGCUCCUUGGACUUCGGUUCAGGGAGGAAAGCGAUACCGAGGGUAUCGCGCUCUUGGCUGGGCUCAUGUCCUAUCAGCUUGUUGGUGAGGUAACGGCUCACCAAGGCUUCGACGGGUAGCUGGUCUGAGAGGACGAUCAGCCACACUGGCACUGCGACACGGGCCAGACUCCUACGGGAGGCAGCAGUAAGGAAUAUUGCGCAAUGGGCGAAAGCCUGACGCAGCGACGCCGCGUGGGGGAUGAAGGUCUUCGGAUUGUAAACCCCUUUCGGGAGGGAAGAUGGAAUGGGGUAACUCAUUCGGACGGUACCUUCCAAAACAACCCGGUUACUUCGUUGCCACAACCCC
rnacentral:rRNA from 1 species